rnacentral:tRNA from 1 species
GGAGAGGUGGCCGAGUGGCCGAAGGCGGCGGUUUGCUAAACCGUUAUACGGUCGAAAGUCCGUAUCCAGGGUUCGAAUCCCUGCCUCUCCGCCA